rnacentral:tRNA from 2 species
GCGCCAGUAGCUCAGUUGGAUUAGAGCAACGGACUUCUAAUCCGUAGGUCGCAGGUUCGAAUCCUGCCUGGCGUA